UUACGGCCCUAUCACGUUAAAAGACCGGUUCUUGUACGAUCCUCGAAGUUAAGCAACGUUGAGCCUGGUUAGUUUCUUAAAUGGGUGACCACUUGGGAAUACUAAAAUGCUGUA